AAUUACUGGAGGAGCCUUAACCGGCUGAGAGGAGAUUCGUUCUCGACUCUUAUUACCUGAACUGGAUAAUACCAGCGGAGGGAAGUAUUAAAAC
rnacentral:ncRNA from 1 species